UCCUUGAUGGUCCAGUGGUUAGGACUCAGUGUUUUCAAUGCUGGAGCCCUGGGUUCAAUCUCUGGUCAGGGAA
rnacentral:tRNA from 1 species